AACGAACGCUGGCGGCAUGCUUAACACAUGCAAGUCGAACGAGACCUUCGGGUCUAGUGGCGCACGGGUGCGUAACGCGUGGGAAUCUGCCCUUAGGUACGGAAUAACUCAGAGAAAUUUGUGCUAAUACCGUAUGAUGUCGAAAGACCAAAGAUUUAUCGCCUAAGGAUGAGCCCGCGUAAGAUUAGCUUGUUGGUGAGGUAAAAGCUCACAAAGGCGACGAUCUUUAGCUGGUCUGAGAGGAUGAUCAGCCACACUGGGACUAAGACACGGCCCAGACUCCUACGGGAGGCAGCAGUGGGGAAUAUUGGACGAUGGGCGAAAGCCUGAUCCAGCAAUGCCGCGUGAGUGAUGAAGGCCUUAGGGUUGUAAAGCUCUUUUACCAGGGAUGAUAAUGACAGUACCUGGAGAAUAAGCUCCGGCUAACUCCGUGCCAGCCGCCGCUGUAA
rnacentral:rRNA from 1 species